AAAGAGAGAGAGAGAGAGAGAGAGAGAGAGAUAGAGAGAGAGAGAGAGAGAGAUUAUAGGAAGGAGGUGAUCGGUAUGGAAGUCCCAAGAAAUUAGGUUGAGAGAAGCGACGGGGGGGAGACGAGAGCGGAUGGAGACGGAAUAAUCAU